AGCCAGGCUUGACUGCAGCCAGCCCUGAACCUCACUCAUACCAAACCUUAUCAGAGAGAAGUAGUCAAAGAUCCCAGAACAACAUUGUAAGAACUGCAGACUGCUCAAACCUCAGAACUUGAGCUGGCGCUGGAAUGGCGGGAGGGUGUCAUUCCGUCUGAGGAGGGGCCGCUGGACUCGAGCAGACGGCUCUGGGCUGGCACCGAUCCACCCUGACGGUCCCUGGGCUUGGGUUUCAGGCAGUGGCAGCAACAAAUGGCGAAGACCGAUCCAACCACCACGAAGGACACAAAGGCACUUGCGACAAUCAGGAACGGCAAGGUCUUUCCGCGCACAUGUCCCUGGUUAUGGGUAUGCACGUUGCACUUUGUUGUUCGUCGCUCUGGAGAAGAGCCCCAAUGUCAAUAAGAGCCAGUGCCCUCUGCAGCCUCCUGCCCUUCAGCUGUGAUCUGUGACAGUGAAACGUCACCAGGGAAGUGACCAUCACAGCAAGGGCCAGGGUAACCACCACCAGCAGAGCUAAGAUGGAGGAGGAGUCUUCAUCGAACCAACCGUACCCGGCCGGCCCGUCUGUGAAAUUGGCAAACGGAAAGGUGUCCGCGGAGGCGCCCGGUUCCUUGGGUCUCAUUUCGAAGGCACAGCUUGAAUGGGGCAACCGAGAACAAAAUAUGUCUACGGGAGUGGGAGGGAGGGGGGCGAAGAUAAUGUUUCACUUGCAGUGCCUAUACUGACCUAUAUCAGGUGAAUCAUCUCAUUAGCCCCCAUAUGCCUUUCUCCUAUAUGUUGCUCCAGUUACAAAAACAAUGCAUCCUUGCGAAACUGCUGAAAUUACCCCUGAACCAGCAGCUAAAUUUGGAGGCUGUCUGCCUUAUAUGGGACUGUGUGGAAGUCACACCAACACAGCUGACACACAGAUCACUUUAAGGGAUUCUGCAUGAUGCUCUACUUUUCAUUUUGUUGUUUUUCGUUGUCUCUUCCAGACAUGCUUCUGAGAUCCUUCCUUCCCUUAUUCUUUUCGCUGAGUACCCCUCCCGUUUCCUCAGCAAUUAAAGAAGGCGUCUGCCAGCAUCUUCAAAGGUUCAGUCUAGAAUGGAAAUAAAUGUUAUUUGAGUUUGAUUUUGGUAACAUUUCACAUGUUACCAAUGAAAAUGAGGAGAGAAAUACUUUCACUUUUGUUUCUCUGGUCUGCCCAAGGACGGGGAAAUUUAAUGAGAACUCUCUCUGAUGUCCGUUUCCUCCAGCUUACUUGUUAUCAGGAGCUGAUCUGUAGCUAAGCCUUUAUGUGCUAGCAUGAGGCCCUGUGCCCAUUACUGUCUGGGUGCUUUACUGAUACUUAUUAUUGUAAUUUCUCAUCUGCCAUUUUCAUAAAUGGGCAAAGUGAAUGGAAGAAACUAUUAAAAACCUUUGGACGGAAACAUUUAAGAAA